ACGGGACCGCACAAGCAGCGGAGCAUGUGGUUUAAUUCGAAGCAACGCGAAGAACCUUACCAGGACUUGACAUCCCUCUGACAGUCCCUUAACCGGGAUCUCCUUCGGGCAGAGGUGACAGGUGGUGCAUGGUUGUCGUCAGCUCGUGUCGUGAGAUGUUGGGUUAAGUCCCGCAACGAGCGCAACCCUUGUCUUUAGUUGCCAUCAUUUAGUUGGGCACUCUAGAGAGACUGCCGAGGAUAACUCGGAGGAAGGUGGGGAUGACGUCAAAUCAUCAUGCCCCUUAUGUUCUGGGCUACACACGUGCUACAAUGGCUGGUACAAAGAGACGCAAGACGGUGACGUGGAGCAAAUCUCAAAAACCAGUCCCAGUUCGGAUUGUAGGCUGCAACUCGCCUACAUGAAGUUGGAGUUGCUAGUAAUCGCAGAUCAGAAUGCUGCGGUGAAUGCGUUCCCGGGUCUU
rnacentral:rRNA from 2 species